UACAGAGGGUGCAAGCGUUAAUCGGAAUUACUGGGCGUAAAGCGUGCGUAGACGGUUACAUAAGUCAGAUGUGAAAGCCCCGGGCUCAACCCGGGAAUUGCAUUUGAGACUGCGUAGCUAGGGUGCGGAAGAGGGAAGCGGAAUUUCCGGUGUAGCGGUGAAAUGCGUAGAUAUCGGAAGGAACACCAGUGGCGAAAGCGGCUUCCUGGUCCAGCACCGACGUUCAGGCACGAAAACGUGGGGAGCAAACAGG
rnacentral:rRNA from 1 species